rnacentral:rRNA from 1 species
GGACCCGCACAAGUAGUGGAGCAUGUGGUUUAAUUCGAAGAUACGCGCAGAACCUUACCAACACUUGACAUGUUCGUCGCGAACUCUAAGAGAUUAGAGUUUCGGUUCGGCCGGACGAAACACAGGUGCUGCAUGGCUGUCGUCAGCUCGUGUCGUGAGAUGUUGGGUUAAGUCCCGCAACGAGCGCAACCCUCACUUUUAGUUGCCAUCAUUAAGUUGGGCACUCUGAAAGAACUGCCAGUGAUAAGCUGGAGGAAGGUGGGGAUGACGUCAAGUCCUCAUGGCCCUUACGUGUUGGGCUACACACGUGCUACAAUGGUAUUUACAACAGGAAGCAAGAACUGCGAAGUUAAA